UACGGAGGGUACAAGCGUUAUCCGGAUUCACUGGGUUUAAAGGGUGCGUAGGUGGGUUGGUAAGUCAGUGGUGAAAUCCCCGAGCUUAACUUGGGAACUGCCAUUGAUACUAUCAGUCUUGAAUAUUGUGGAGGUUAGCGGAAUAUGUCAUGUAGCGGUGAAAUGCUUAGAUAUGACAUAGAACACCAAUUGCGAAGGCAGCUGGCUACGCAUAUAUUGACACUGAGGCACGAAAGCGUGGGGGAGUCAAACAGGA
rnacentral:rRNA from 1 species